rnacentral:rRNA from 1 species
GAUGAACGCUGGCGGCGUGCUUAACACAUGCAAGUCGAACGGAAAGGCCCAAGCUUGCUUGGGUACUCGAGUGGCGAACGGGUGAGUAACACGUGGGUGAUCUGCCCUGCACUUCGGGAUAAGCCUGGGAAACUGGGUCUAAUACCGGAUAGGACCACAUUUUGGAUGGUGUGGUGGAAAGUUUUUCGGUGUGGGAUGAGCUCGCGGCCUAUCAGCUUGUUGGUGGGGUAAUGGCCUACCAAGGCGUCGACGGGUAGCCGGCCUGAGAGGGUGUACGGCCACAUUGGGACUGAGAUACGGGCCAGACUCCUACGGGGGACAGCAGGGGGGAAUAUUGCACAAUGGGCGCAAGCCUGAUGCAGCGACGCCGCGUGGGGGAUGACGGCGUUCGGGUUGUAAACUCCUUUCGCUAGGGACGAAGCGUUUUUGUGACGGUACCUGGAGAAGAAGCACCGGCUAACUACGUG